CAAUAAAAUUUCAUUCUCCUUAAUAAAGUAAUAAAUUUAAGAAUGCAAGGCGUAGGUUACGCCUUCUACCGCCCUCUGUCGGAAAUCGGCAGGAAGUCAUCGACCGUGAGCUGUCUGAUCCUGGAUCGGCCUUCCUCGCCAUCUAGCGUGGGAUAGCUGCACUCUUGUAUUCCUCUAUGGACUUACGUGGAUCAUAGUUGCCAUUUUGAAAAAUAGAAGUAAAUCGUCAUCGGGCGUUUGCCUUCCUUCCUUUUAUUCGUAAACAGACUUAAUUAUGGGUUUUUUUUUAAGCUCCGCGUUAAUCGCGAAGAGCUUAGUAUUAUAUUUUAUUGUUGACUUAAUUUCCAUUGAACGUCCGGAGCCGGCUGUUUGCGGUGCGAGCCGAUUUAGGCUUGGCAACACUAGUCCCGUCCAAAAUGGCGAAUGAGAUGGGAUUUCUUUUUGCCGGAGAGAGAGUUGAAGGGAUAUCGUUGGCCCAAGCUAAAAUCGGGCGCAAUCGCCCGUUUGAGUGAGUUUCAAUAGUGAUUCGGUUGUGUAUUUCUUUUUAGUUGGUUAGUUUCUAACGAAGCGUUGCAUAUUUUCCAGCCCCGGAAUCGGACGUGAAUAAAACCAUGUUCUGAUGGUGAUAGGCGACGCCCAGCGUGCCCGGAUGUCGAAAUAGGUGCAAUUUUGCCCUCUGCUGGCCCUUUCUCCAUCAACGGGUUCACGCCGCGUCGCCUAAACCUCGCGCCGGCCGCGAGAGAUCCCCCUGGUGUUCCGGUAACUUGUGGGCAGCAGAUUGCUGCUGUUCUACCUACUCCCGACGUUUCACCCCAAGGCUGCUGACGUGGCAGUUGUGGUGUUUCGAGGUCAGAUCUUUCCACGUUUACUUAUUGACUGAAUGAACCGGCCUUUCGGUUCUGGCGCCCUUCCGUGUAACUACCUUAAUAUAUAUUGACCACUGUAUCCGUUUCUACCAGUAAUGAUAAUUUAGAGCUCGCUGACCCACGUUUGUUCCCUUAAAAUAUAAACUCAACAUUAUUGUUCUCGUGAGCUAGCCCUCGGCAAACAAUUGUUACCGUGUAUCUAGGAUAACAAAUUAGCAUAAACAAUUUAGAUUUUUUUUCCUGAAUUCAAUAAAUACCUGGUUCCUCUUCAA
rnacentral:lncRNA from 1 species